rnacentral:rRNA from 1 species
UGGAUGAUGUGGUUUAAUUCGAUGCAACGCGAAAACCUUACCACCUUUGACAUGUACGGAACUCGCCAGAGAUGGCUUGGUGCUCGAAAGAGAGCCGUAACACAGGUGCUGCAUGGCUGUCGUCAGCUCGUGUCGUGAGAUGUUGGGUUAAGUCCCGCAACGAGCGCAACCCUUGUCAUUAGUUGCUACAUUCAGUUGGGCACUCUAAUGAGACUGCCGGUGACAAACCGGAGGAAGUGGGGAUGACGUCAAGUCCUCAUGGCCCUUAUAGGUGGGGCUACACACGUCAUACAAUGGAUGGUACAAAGGGCUGCGAACCCGCGAGGGGGAGCGAAUCCCAAAAAGCCGCUCUCAGUUCGGAUUGCAGGCUGCAACUCGCCUGCAUGAAGCCGGAAUCGCUAGUAAUCGCGGAUCAGCAUGCCGCGGUCGAAUACGUUCCCGGGCCUU